rnacentral:lncRNA from 1 species
GGGUCCCCUGGGUCCCGUGGGCACCGGGGGGGUCCCGUGGGCACUGGGGGGGUCCCAGGGGUGCAAUGGGGGUCCCGUGGGCGCCAGGGGGGUCUCAUGGGUGCCGUGGAGCAGCGGCUGAGGAGUGUCGCGCGGAGCAAGGGGGGGAUCCCACGGGUGCAAUGGGGGUCCCAGGGGGGCAAUGGGGGUCCCGUGGGUCCCGUGGGUGCUGGGGGGUCCCGUGGGUCCCGCGGGCGCCGUGGGGCAGCGGCUGAGGGGUGUCGCGCAGAGCAAGGGCGGGAUCCUGUCCAAGGCCUGCGACUACAUCCGGGAGCUGCGGCAGAGCAACCAGCGCCUGCAGGAGACCUUCAAGGAGGCCGAGCGCCUCCAGAUGGACAACGACCUGCUGCGCCAGCAGAUGGAGGAGCUGAAGAGCGAGAACGCGGUGCUGCGGGCGCAGCUGCAGCAGCAGGGCCUGGAGGGGCCCGAGGGGCCCGCGCCGUGACACCGCGGGGACGCGCCGAGGACACGCCGAGGACACGCCGAGGACACGCCACACGGGGGGACACGGCAAGGACACGCCACACGGGGGGACACGCCAAGGACACGGCACGGGGACGCUCCCCCGCCGGCCACGGACGCCGCGGGGACACCUUGGGGACGCCGUGGGGACGCCGUGGGGACGUCCCCCCCCCUGCCAACCAGGGGACACCUUGGGGACACAUUGGGGACGCCAUGGGGGACACCGGGGAUGUCCCGUCACCCCGGGGACGUCCCCCCUGCUAACCAGGGACACCUUGGGGACACCGGGGACGUCCCCCCGCCCCUCGGGGACACCCUAGGGACACUGGGGACGUCUCCUCUGCCAACCAGGGACACCAUGGGGACCCCAUGGAUGUCUCCCCCCUGCUCCCCAGGGACACCAUGGGGACACCUUGGGGACACCGGAGAUGUCCCCCACCCCGGGGACGUCCCCCCCUGCCAACCAGGGGACACCUUGGGGACACCAUGGGGACACCGGUGAUGUCCCCCCGCCCCUCAGGGACACCCUGGGGACACCUUGGGGACCCCAUGGAUGUCUCUCCCCCCCCCCCCCAGGGACACCGUGGGGACACCUUGGGGACACCGGAGAUGUCCCCCACCCCGGGGACGUCCCCCCCUGCCAACCAGGGGACACCUUGGGGACACCUUGGGGACAGUGGUGACAUCCCCCCGCUCCUCAGGGACACUCUAGGGACACCUUGGGGACCCCAUGGACGUCUCUCCCCACCCCCCCCAGGGACACCGUGGGGACACCUUGGGGACACCUUGGGGACGUUGGUGACAUCCCCCCGCCCCUCAGGGACACCCUGGGGACACCUUGGGGACCCCAUGGACGUCUCUCCCCACCCCCCCCCCAGGGACACCGUGGGGACACCUUGGGGACACCGGUGACGUCCCCCUGGCCCCCAGGGACACCUUGGGGAUCCCAUGGGGACACCGGGAAUGUCCCCCCUGCCAACCGGGGGACACCCUGCUGACACCUUGGGGACACCUUGGGGACACCGGUGAUGUCCCCCCGCCCCUCAGGGACACCCUAGGGACGCCUUGGGGACACCGGGGACCCCAUGGACGUCUCCCCCCUGCCCCUCAGGGACGCCUUGGGGACACCGGGGAUGUCCCCCCACCCUGGGGACGUCCCCCCUGCCAACCAGGGGACACCCUGCUGACGCUUUGGGGACACCAGGGACGUCCCCUUGUCCCUCAGGGACACCUUGGGGACACCGGGAACGUCUCCCCGACCCAG